AGAGUUUGAUCAUGGCUCAGAUUGAACGCUGGCGGAAUGCUUUACACAUGCAAGUCGAGCGGCAGCGCGGGGGCAACCCUGGCGGCGAGCGGCGAACGGGUGAGUAAUACAUCGGAACAUGUCCAGUUGUGGGGGAUAGCCCGGCGAAAGCCGGAUUAAUACCGCAUGAGCUCGAGAGAGGAAAGCGGGGGACCGUAAGGCCUCGCGCGACUGGGUUGGCCGAUGUCCGAUUAGCUAGUUGGUGGGGUAAAGGCCUACCAAGGCGAUGAUCGGUAGCUGGUCUGAGAGGAUGAUCAGCCACACUGGGACUGAGACACGGCCCAGACUCCUACGGGAGGCAGCAGUGGGGAAUUUUGGACAAUGGGGGAAACCCUGAUCCAGCCAUUCCGCGUGAGUGAAGAAGGCCUUCGGGUUGUAAAGCUCUUUUGUCCGGAGCGAAACGGUUACGGUGAAUAUCCGUGACUACUGACGGUACCGGAAGAAUAAGCACCGGCUAACUACGUGCCAGCAGCCGCGGUAAUACGUAGGGUGCGAGCGUUAAUCGGAAUUACUGGGCGUAAAGCGUGCGCAGGCGGGCUUUUAAGCCAGACGUGAAAUCCCCGGGCUUAACCUGGGAAUGGCGUUUGGGACUGGAAGUCUGGAGUGCGGCAGAGGAGACUGGAAUUCCUGGUAGCAGUGAAAUGCGUAGAGAUGUGGAGGAACACCGAUGGCGAAGGCAGCCUUCUGGGCCAACACUGACGCUCAUGCACGAAAGCGUGGGGAGCAAACAGGAUUAGAUACCCUAGUAGUCC
rnacentral:rRNA from 1 species